AAUAAUGGCUAAGUCUCAUCCUCA
rnacentral:snRNA from 1 species